CAGGAUUCCCUUAGUAGCGGCGAGCGAAACGGGAAGAGCCCAGCGCCGAAUCCCACGCCGUAAAAAAGCGUACGGGAAAUGUGGCGUGAGGGAGCGUCUCUGAGCGAAAGCGAAAGGGCGGCGGCGGCGCUCGUCGUCGUCGUCGUCCCUUUCGUCGUAGCCGUACACAAGAUGCGAAAUCCGGCCGGCGAGUCCAAGUCCAUCUUGAAAGAGGCCACAAUCCGUAGAGGGUGCCAGGCCCGUAGAGGCCGCCGCCGAUUUCGGACGCGAGACGUCUCCUCAGAGUCGGGUUGCUUGGUAGUGCAGCCCAAAGCAGGUGGUAUACUUCAUCUAAGGCUAAACAAGGCCACGAGACCGAUAGCGAACAAGUACCGUGAGGGAAAGUUGAAAAGGACUUUGAAGAGAGAGUUCAACAGUACGUGAAACCGUUUUGGGGUAAGCGCGUGAAACUCGAAGAGUCGCACGCGGGAGAUUCGGUAUCCGCGGCCUCGGGACGGAGGAUCGCUUUUUAUAAAUGAAAAUUUGCGCGGACGUGCGCUCGACGUUCGAUCGCUUUCAUCGGCGAUCGGAUCGACCCGAGCCUCGUCGGCAAAGCGAUUCGAGUCGUCGUCGUCACGGUCGUCGUCGCUUCGGCGGCGGCGGCAGUGGCGGCGUCGACGACUCUGCAUGUGUCUCGUCCCGUCGCGGGUCCGCACUUCUCCCCGCGUUGAAAGACCGUCGCGACCGGCUGGCUACCUCCGGAAUCGAAAGCUCGCGUUUUCAGACCGAAAAGCGUGAGGCGUCGUCGUUUCGGCGGCGGCGUCGAGCGCGUUUAAAAAUUUCGGGGACGCGAACAAGCUUGAUUUCGGGCCGGCCGUAUCAAAAAGAGUCGGACGUUUGCUCGCGUCAAAGCACGUUCGUCGUCGCGUUCGGAUCGGGGAACGACUGGUCGCUCGUCGCGCAAAAAUUCGCGGCGCGAGUCGCGGAGCGACGGAUCAGUCGUCGGAACGGCGGUUCUCACCGUCGUCUCCCCGUCUCCGGUCGUCUGAUUCAGCGCGGCGUUCUCGAACAGAGUAUUCGUCGGUCCAGCGACGCAAAUGGUUUCGGGGAUUCACGCGACCCGUCUUGAAACACGGACCAAGGAGUCUAACAUGUGCGCGAGUCAUGGGGUUCGGUAAGAGACCCGCAGGCGAAGUGAAAGCAACGAAUCGAGGGGCGCGGUCACGCGCCGCUCGAAGAGACGAUGCCGACGCGGAUCGGGGAAAAGUUUCUUUUUCUCGUUCGCAUCUAAGACAAAAAUAGUCAGGAGUUAUCGCGGUCGCGCUCGCGCGUCCACGACCGACCGGCCGCAGUCUCGGGGCGUCUCUUCGCGGUCGUUUUUCCGUCGAGUCGAAAGGCUCGCGGAAAGCGGCCCGAGGCGCAUCGCGAGCGCACACGUUGGGACCCGAGAGAUGAUGAACUAUACCUGGUCAGGACGAAGUCAGGGGAAACCCUGAUGGAGGUCCGUCGAGAUUCUGACGUGCAAAUCGAUCUCUUGAACUGGGCAUAGGGGCGAAAGACUAAUCGAAUCAUCUGUUAGCUGGUUUCGCCGGAAGUUUCCCUCAGGAUAGCUGGCGCGCGAAAAGAGGUGUUUCAUCCGGUAAAGCGAAUGAUUAGCGGUCUUGGGAUCGAAAAGAUCUCAACCGAUUCUCAAACUUUAAAUGGGUGAGAUCGUACGACUUGCUUAAAUGAAGUCUAUGAAAAGAGCUAAAGAUUGCGUGCGAGCAGAGCGGUUUUCGUUUCUUUUGUUUCUCUCCUCGACGUCGCCUCUUACGCAAGAGUUUUCGCCGCACGAAAACGCUCCCCUCUCCCCCCCCGACAGAUACGAUAGGCGAACAGGUCGAUUUUUUUUUUUUUUUUUUCUUCUUCUUCUUUUUCUCAUCGAUGGAUUUUUUUAAAAAAUGAAAUCGAAAAAAGAAAAGAAAAAAAUUUAAAAAAAAACCAUCACGAAAUUUUUGUUUUCAAUCGCAAACGAAUGAGCUCAGCUGACUAGCAGCAGCAGCAGCAGCAGUAGGUCGUGGAGAAAAGAGAAAAGAGGAAAAGGAGGUGGAGGAAAAGAGGAGAGGAGAGGAGAGGAGAGAAAAAAAAAACGUCUGCUCGACGAGUUAGCAAAAAAAUAAAAAAAAAAAUGUCAGGGAGAAACCUGUACGUGCCAAGUGGGCCAUUUUUGGUAAGCAGAACUGGCGCUGUGGGAUGAACCAAACGCCGAGUUAAGGCGUCUAAAUCAACGCUCACGAGAUACCAUGAAAGGCGUUGGCUUCUAUAGACAGCAGGACAGUGGCCAUGGAAGUUGGAAUCUGCUAAGGAGUGUGUAACAACUCACCUGCCGAAGGAGCUAGCCCUGAAAAUGGAUGACGCUUAAGCGUUGUGCCUAUACUCGGCCGUCAAUCGGCAUAAGGAGAAAGAACGUUUCCGUCCGGGAGCAACUCGAGGCCGCGAGAGUCGUGUCGCACUCGAACGCGCACAAACGUCGUCCCUCCGCGGUCGGCGUUCUCUCGUUCGUCUCGAGUCUUUCUUCGUCAAGCCUUGACGAGUACGGUGUACGAGGCGGUGUGCGCAGAAGGGCCUCGCCGCGAGGCGACCUGGAGCCGCCGUCUGUGCAGAUCUUGGUGGUAGUAGCAAUGACUCGAUAGAGGACCUUGAGGACUGAAGUGGAGAAGGGUUUCGUGUGAACAGCAGUUGGACACGAGUCAGUCGAUCCUAAGCACUAGGGAAAACCCGAUGUCGAUGAGAGAGUGUAAAAGACAAAAAAAAACAAAACCGAAGCAAAAAUCUCUCGUCGUGCGAAAGGGAAUCCGGUUCAUAUUCCGGAACCUGGCCGCGGAACCGGAAACGCUUGGUCGGAUUUUGUCGAGCGUUGGCGGCGUCGCGAGCGCGCGGCUUUCGCAGUCGUCGCCGCGGUCGUCAUCGAUUUCGCGCAAAGUUCGUCGGGGCAACCCAAAAAAACCAGGAGACGCCGUCUGGAGAUCCCGGAAGAGUUUUCCUUUCUCUAUGAGCGUUCGAGUUCCAUGGAAUCCUCUAGCAGGGAGAUAUGGUUUGGAACGCGAAGAGCAUCGCAGUUGCGGCGGUGUCGGGAUUGCUUCAUUACGGACCUUGAAAAUCCGGGGGACGGCCACGUGGAGGUCUCGCGCCAGAUCGUACCCAUAUCCGCAGCAGGUCUCCAAGGUUAGCAGCCUCUAGUCGGUAGAAUAAUGUAGGUAAGGGAAGUCGGCAAAACGGAUCCGUAACUUCGGGAUAAGGAUUGGCUCUGAGGAUCGGGGCGCGACGGGCCCGGCAGGAAAGCAGACCAAUCGUUCAGGGGACUGAGCAGCUCGUUCUAGUUCGGUCCCCUCGCGCGACGUAGUCUGCGAUACUGCCGGUAGCUGUAGAGGACUCUGCGGUCAGAUUUUCGGAUCGGGAAAAGCGCGGGAGCGUUUUAUUUUUUCUCUCUCUUCGCGGGGAAAGAAAAGAUGACGUUUCUCGGACUUUUCUUUCGAACGUGCUCGUUCGAUCAGGGACUCGAGCGCGCGAGUCACACGGAAAGAGGACUCGCGAAACGUCAGACUCUCGACGCUCGCGUGAUCUCGGUGCGAACCGAGAUUAGCGACCCGGGACUAGUUUCGCGUGCGCUCCUUUUUCUUCGUCGCUCGAAAUUCCCGCGCAGGGAAAAAGUCAAAGGAAAAAAUUUUCAAAAAAAAAAAGGAAAAAAAAAGGAAGAGAAAGAUCAAAGCGAGCGCGAGCGGGCCGUACGAACGGACGUUCGUCGGAAAGCGCGCGUAGAAACGUUUUGCCGCUCGGUCGAGUUUCGGUUCGUCCGAGCGAGCGGAGUUUCGCUCUCGAGUUCGCUCUGCCCGUCUCGGGCGCCGUCGCAAGGCGGCGUUCCCGGCGACGCGGGGAGCUUCGCGAGACGUCGCUUUCGCACACGGCGGCGUUCGGUUCCGAGCGCUCUCGCGGCGCUCGGCGUCCGAUCGCUCGCGCGCUUUUGUUUUCGUCUCUCUUUCUUUUUUUUUUUUUUUUUUCGAGUUUUCCGGUCGCUUUUAUUCCUCGUCGUCCGCCGACAAACGAUCGACUCAGAACUGGCACGGACAAGAGGAAUCCGACUGUUUAAUUAAAACAAAGCAUUGCGACGGCCCCAGGUGGGUGUUGACGCAAUGUGAUUUCUGCCCAGUGAAUCGAAUGUGAAGACGAAGAAAUUCGAAAAAGCUCAUUUAAACGGCGGGAGUAACUAUGACUCUCUUAAGGUAGCCAAAUGCCUCGUCAUCUAAUUAGUGACGCGCAUGAAUGGAUUAACGAGAUUCCUUCUGUCCCUAUCUACUAUCUAGCGAAACCACUGCCAAGGGAACGGGCUUGGAAAAAUCAGCGGGGAAAGAAGACCCUGUUGAGCUUGACUCUAGUCUGGCACUGUAAGGAGACGUGAGAGGCGUAGAAUAAGUGGGAGAUCGUACGCUUUUCUCGCGAGAAGCUCGGUCGCCAGUGAAAUACCACUACUUUCAUUGUUUCUUUACUUAUUCGAUGAAGCGGAAAACGUGCGCGCGACGUAAAUUUUGUUCGCUCGAACAGCCUCGUCGUUUUACUUUCAAUUGUUAUUGGGUUGCGGCGAGGCCGACGGACAAAAAAACGAGUCGCCGUUACGAUUUUCUUGCGUUAAGCGUCACGGGUAAGGUUCGCCCGGCGCGAGUCGAGAGUCGCGCGCGGUCCGUUUCGCGUCCGCGCGAAGCGAGGCCGAACGCGGUUCUCCGACCGCGCGCGCGGUCGUCACCUACGGGAUAGAUCGAUCGCUCCGCCCUCGGGCCGGACGCGCGUCGUCGUCCACCCGACGCGAUCCGAUUCGAAGACACUGCCAGGUGGGGAGUUUGACUGGGGCGGUACAUCCGUCAAAGAAUAACGCAGUGUCCUAAGGCCAGCUCAGUGAGGACAGAAACCUCGCGUAGAGCAAAAGGGCAAAAGCUGGCUUGAUCCCGAUGUUCAGUACGCAUAGGGACUGCGAAAGCACGGCCUAUCGAUCCUUUUGGCAUCUAGAGUUUAGAGCAAGAGGUGUCAGAAAAAUUACCAUAGGGAUAACUGGCUUGUGGCGGCCAAGCGUUCAUAGCGACGUCGCUUUUUGAUCCUUCGAUGUCGGCUCUUCCAAUCAUUGCGAAGCAGAAUUCGCCAAGCGUCAGAUUGUUCACCUGCUAACAGGGAACGUGAGCUGGGUUUAGACCGUUGUGAAACAGGUUAGUUUUACCCUACUGAUAUUAGCGUCGUUGCGACAGUAAUCCUGCUCAGUACGAGAGGAACCGCAGGUUCGGACAUUUGGUUCAGCACCCGGUCGAACGACCGUUAGUGCCAAGCUACCAUCCGUUGGAUUACGC
rnacentral:rRNA from 1 species